AGUGAACGCUGGCGGUAGGCCUAACACAUGCAAGUCGAACGGCAGCACAGGAGAGCUUGCUCUCUGGGUGGCGAGUGGCGGACGGGUGAGGAAUACAUCGGAAUCUACUCUGUCGUGGGGGAUAACGUAGGGAAACUUACGCUAAUACCGCAUACGACCUACGGGUGAAAGCAGGGGACCUUCGGGCCUUGCGCGAUUGAAUGAGCCGAUGUCGGAUUAGCUAGUUGGCGGGGUAAAGGACCACCAAGGCGACGAUCCGUAGCUGGUCUGAGAUGAUGAGCAGCCACACUGGAACGGAGACACGGUCCAGACUCCUACGGGAGGCAGCAGUGGGGAAUAUUGGACAAGGGGAGCAAGCCUGAUCCAGCCAUACCGCGUGGGUGAAGAAGGCCUUCGGGUUGUAAAGCCCUUUUGUUGGGAAAGAAAUCCAGCUGGCUAAUACCCGGUUGGGAUGACGGUACCCAAAGAAUAAGCACCGGCUAACUUCGUGCCAGCAGCCGCCGUAA
rnacentral:rRNA from 1 species